UCCAUCGUGGGGGUGGUGAAAAGGUAGACACGCGAGACUCAAAAUCUCGUGCUAAAGAGCGUGGAGGUUCGAGUCCUCUUCAAGGCAU
rnacentral:tRNA from 1 species